rnacentral:sRNA from 1 species
CACCUGUCAGGCCCCCCGACGUUGGGCA